CAGAAAACCAAAACAACAGCAACAGAAAAAACAAAUAAAUAAAAAACAGCAGGGUGGCCCUGUGUUUGUGAGGAUGAGAUGGAUUUCUGGGGAAAACAUUCCUCUCACUUACUUAUUUCUCAUCUAAUGCUGUGAAGGGUUCUUGAUGCUUUAAUUGCUGUACUACAAAAUAGAGAGCAUCCUAAUCUUUGAUGUUUGAGAGUUUUAAAACCUUAAUGUUUAUAUGACCUGUGUAAAUAUGCUAAAUGAGCGUCUUGUUGUUAAAUGACCUUACAGAGUCCCUUUAAUGUGCUGGUGCUGGAAAGCAGCGUUGGGUAUUUCCUGUUUGCACAUGUAUGUAUUCAGCAUGUGGAAAAUAGCUACCGUGAAACAUACAGAAGUGAAAGUGUUUGUUAAGAUGGUGAGGUUAUGGAUGCUAUUUUUUCAAUGUUUUUAUUGAAUGUUAUAUUGUUUUUACAAUAAAAUUUUAAAUGCCCUUAUUA